rnacentral:rRNA from 1 species
UACGAGGGGGGCAAGCGUUGUUCGGAUUCAUUGGGCGUAAAGGGUGCGUAGGCGGCGCGGUAAGUCGGGUGUGAAAUCUCGGAGCUUAACUCCGAAACUGCAUUCGAUACUGCCGUGCUUGAGGACUGGAGAGGAGACUGGAAUUUACGGUGUAGCGGUGAAAUGCGUAGAUAUCGUAAGGAAGACCAGUGGCGAAGGCGGGUCUCUGGACAGUUCCUGACGCUGAGGCACGAAGGUCAGGGGAGCAAACGGG